UAUCUUUUUGGUAUCUUGCCUGAGUGUGAUCUGAGCUGGACCCUGUUUAUCCUAGAAGCUGCACCUGCCCUACGGAAUUUCAAGUUAUCUCGAACUCGACAUACAUGUGGCAAAAAGCUUUACGAUACUGCCGAAAAGACGAAUGUGGUGUGGGAGCCAUCGAAGGAUCUGAAGCAUCUGAACUUGAAGUUGCUGAUGAUGUUAGGGUUCGAGGAGGAGGUCAAGGUGACAAACUAUAUAAGGCUAGUCAUGGCACAUGUUGUGAGGUUGAAGAGAAUCGAGCUUCAUGGUGAGGACCCAUGCAAGGAGUGCAAUGCCAUUGAUCCGAGGAGAUCCCAGGUGGAUGAAGCUAGCAGGCGUCAGAUUAAGGAGCGACUCACACUUGAAUCUUCCUCCUCUGCGAAGAUAAUAAUUUGUUGAUGGGUAUGGUCAAGAAAUGAUAAUAAUCUCAUAAAAUAAGUGAUCAUGGCUUCUGCUAGAGCGAUGAUGGAUAUUGGUUUAAAAAAUACUUAUUGGUGUCGACUUUACAUUACAGCGUGUGUAGUAUUAUUUGUGCACUACUUUUCAAA